ACCUUUAUUUGCCUUGAGAGCAACACCCUUUUCCUUUCUUCUUCUUUUUGAUAAGGUUUCAGCACGUUGGGUCAGCUCCAACUCGUAGGUCAAGAGAUUUCCAUACAGUUGUUGAACUGUCAUCUCAUUAAGAUUCUUUGAUUCUCUUAUUGCUGUGGUCUUUGCAUCCCAUCUGCUUGGUAGGGCUCUCAUGAACUUUAUGGUCAGAUCCUUGUUAGGAUAGAUCUUCCCAUACGCUCGUAGAGAGUUGAGCAAAACGUUGAACCUUUCAUAAGUUGCAGUCACGUUUUCUCCUUGUACAUGGGCGAACAUUUCAUACUGCUGUGUCAGGAGAGACUGUUUGUUCUCUCUGACUUCUUCAGUUC
rnacentral:lncRNA from 1 species